GACAGAGGAUGCAAGCGUUAUCCGGAAUGAUUGGGCGUAAAGCGUCUGUAGGUGGCUUUUCAAGUCCGCCGUCAAAUCCCAGGGCUCAACCCUGGACAGGCGGUGGAAACUGCCAAGCUGGAGUACGGUAGGGGCAGAGGGAAUUUCCGGUGGAGCGGUGAAAUGCGUAGAUAUCGGAAGGAACGCCGGUGGCGAAAGCGCUCGACUGGACCUUUUCUGACGCUGAGGCGCGAAAGCCAGGGGAGCAAACGGG
rnacentral:rRNA from 1 species